rnacentral:rRNA from 1 species
GAUCAACGCUGGCGGCGUGCCUCAGACAUGCAAGUCGAACGAUUAAAGCUCUCUUCGGAGAGUGUAUAGGGUGGCGCACGGGUGAGUAACACGUAAGUAAUCUACCCUCGAGUGGGGAAUAACAACCGGAAACGGUUGCUAAUACCGCAUAAUGCAGCGGCACCGCAAGGUGACAGUUGUUAAAAGAUUUAUCGCUUGAGGAGGAGCUUGCGGCAGAUUAGCUAGUUGGUAGGGUAACGGCUUACCAAGGCUACGAUCUGUAACCGGUCUAAGAGGACGGUCGGUCACACUGACACUGAAUAACGGGUCAGACUCCUACGGGAGGCAGCAGUCGGGAAUUUUGGGCAAUGGGCGAAAGCCUGACCCAGCAACGCCGCGUGAAGGAUGAAGUAUUUCGGUAUGUAAACUUCGAAAGAAUAGGAAGAAUUAAUGACGGUACUAUUUAUAAGGUCCGGCUAACUACGUGCCAGCAGCCG